GUUCUACUGGUGUUACUGGUUCUGCUGCUGAGACGAUGUGUUCACAGGAAACCUGAAGAAUAUCAUAAAGAUGUUUUAGAAGAUGAAAUCAUCACUCAUGUCAUGUACAACGCCAUCAAGAUAUUAAAUCAGCACCAGCAGCCAAUCAGACAGCAGAGAGAGACGGAUUCAGUCGUAGUGUACUCAGGAGGGAGAACUGAAGAUGUCAGUUAUGGACAGACAACCAUCAGAACAAAGAGUCCCAGACUUUAAACCAGAGCCAGAC